UAGAAAAACGACGUUACUCAAGUUAUGCACAGCAAGCUGUUGUCCUCCCCCUAGGUUCCAGUUUGUUGUGCACAGUCAGUUAUAAUACCAAGGAUUCCACUGUUUUUCAACUGCCAAACAUUUCAUUAGCACCGAUAUUGCCCACAUAAAAGAAUAUAUUCAACCGACUAGCAUUCUUGGGUUUGGCAAGUAACUUAAAAUUAUUGUUUAGCUUAUGUAGUAGCAUGAGAGUUAUAUAAUAUAUAUAUAUAAUUUCAGAUAUGAGUAGUUGGUUCUACAUAUUAAUGCUAUUUUAUUUUAUUGUUGGAAGAAUAGAAAGGAAAAUGAGUAAUCUACUCUCGUUCUCCGAUUACAAUGAACACAAAUCUUGUCUGCUCUAAAGAACAAGUAGAAUAAUAUCGCAUCUGAUUUUAUUUUUGUGUAUUUCUUUUUAAAAAAGCGUUUUCGUCGGGCCAGUAAUGCAAAUCAUUUUCCCAGCCGCUAAUUAGUUGACUUAACUCAAGCACCUUGUUGCUCUCUGAGAAGAGUUCCAGCCCUGUGCAGCACAAACUCGCCAGCACGCUUCAUGUAUUUUAAAGGGAUUUGCUUUGAACUUGAUGCUAAUUUACUCAAAAGUGUGCAGAAUGCACGCUGGAUUUGAAGUCUCUGCUCCUCUGCCCGUCCAGCUGCACCGAGCUUCAAGACUGAUGAGGUGUUGGUCGGUGUGUUGCCAUUCUCUCUGCUGCUUUGACAGUAACUGCUAAAGAAUGACUCCGAGGAAAGGGAGCCGGACGCCUCUCUGUCUCCUAGCCCGCUAUCUUCACAUUAACCAGGACCGGCUGAUCAGGACUGGCACCAACAAAAUAGAUAAACUGAGGGAACAGAUGAGUAAUAAUCCAACAUUUAACUUCAAUUCUCCUUCAGGUCGAUGUUGUUUUAUUCAUUAAUAUUUGACGAAAACUAGGUCGGAAAGCACGUGUAAAAAGUUUAUUUUGUAGUGACCUGUGUUGAUGAUCAUUAAACGAGCAAAUUAUUUUCCCCCCCUA